rnacentral:rRNA from 1 species
GAUCCAGCCGUGCCGCGUGAUUGAUGAAGGCCCUAGGGUUGUAAAGAUCUUUCAACAGUGAAGAUAAUGACGGUAACUGUAGAAGAAGCUCCGGCUAACUCCGUGCCAGCAGCCGCGGUAAUACGGAGGGAGCUAGCGUUGUUCGGAAUUACUGGGCGUAAAGCGCGCGUAGGCGGAUUAUUAAGUCAGAGGUGAAAUCCCGGGGCUCAACCCCGGAACUGCCUUUGAUACUGGUAGUCUAGAGGUCGAGAGAGGUGAGUGGAAUUCCGAGUGUAGAGGUGAAAUUCGUAGAUAUUCGGAGGAACACCAGUGGCGAAGGCGGCUCACUGGCUCGAUACUGACGCUGAGGUGCGAAAGUGUGGGUAGCAAACAGGAUUAGAUACCCUGGUAGUCCACACCGUAAACGAUGAAUGCUAGUCGUCAGGGGACUUGUCCUUUGGUGACGCAGCUAACGCAUUAAGCAUUCCGCCUGGGGAGUACGGUCGCAAGAUUAAAACUCAAAGGAAUUGACGGAGG